rnacentral:rRNA from 1 species
UACGAGGGGGGCAACUGUUGUUCGGAAUCACUGGGCGUAAAGGGAGCGUAGGCGGGCUUCUAAGUUAGGUGUUUAAUCCCGGGGCCCAACCCCGGUCAGGCACCUAAAACUGGGAGUCUUGAAUAGUGGAGAGGUCAGUGGAAUUGGGGGUGUAGCGGUGGAAUGCGUAGAGAUCCCCAAGAACACCAGUUGCGAAGGCGGCUGACUGGACCAAUAUUGACGCUGAGGAGCGAAAGCUAGGGGAGCAAACGGG